rnacentral:lncRNA from 1 species
AUGCAUGUCCAUCUGGAAAUUUCACAUGUUCUAAAACUUCACAAAAUAUUUUUCUCUCUUCUCGAUCCAUAGUAAAACAAGCAGGAGGUAAGUAUAUUCUUCCUGAGGAUUGUUCCCGAGGCCAAAGCUCUUCCCUUAUCAUCAUCUCUUGCAAAUCACGACGAGCACUUAAGUUGUCCUUAGACUUUUUCUCAUCAUUAAGCAAAGUAUUAAGGAUAUUGUCGUUUACAUUUUUUUCUAUAUGCAUAAUAUCAAGAUUAUGACGCAUUAAAUUGUACUCCCAAUAAGAAAGUCUGAAAAAAAUGCUUUUCUUUCUCUAUAUUUUUUUACGACCGCCACUGAAAUUCUUAUUCAUCUUACCAAAAGUGAACUGAAGACUAUUUACUUGAUCCAACACUUGUGAACCAGAUAGCGGAAGAGGUGGUGAUCUUAAUUCUUCAGUUCCAUCAAAAGAGCUUCGAUCAUAUCUAUAUUUAUGAUUAGAAUCUAAGAAACGCCGAUGACCCAUAUAGCAGAACUUCUUACCAUGUAUUAAGCGUUUAGAACAAGUUUCCACGUUACAAGACGGACAUUAUCACGCCCCGGGGUCCCUUUUAGUUUAAAACAUAGCGGAAAAGCAUCUGAAAUUUUUUUUUUUUUUUUUUUUUGAAAAGCCUGACCCCAGAGUAUGCCAAAUCCGUCACAAACACAGGGAAUCCACUGUUCACACGGACAGAGUCUCCCCUGUAUUUGCACGGCGUCGCACAAGUACAAGAAGUCACCCAGGCACAACCACAAUAAAUGAACAUACAAACGACCAACAGAUAUAUAUUCAUACACCAUUCACCACAGAUUCAUAUUUAUACAUUCGAUAUUUAAACAUCAAUCCACAUCUAUCAGUUAAAAUGUUUCCAACCACAGAAACAGGUUUUAAAAUACUAAGAUGCAAAAUCCACAGAAAAUCUUUUGAAAACUAUUCCCGACACAGGAACUUUUAUCUUUUCAAAACGCUACCACGAGGGGUAGUAAACCUUUUAUUUUACAAAAUUCACAAACCAGUUUAUUACAUUCAUAAAAACCCAUAUUUUCAAAUGUAAUAAAAAUACUGAACCAUAUAAACACUCUAAGCUAUAUAUCAACAGAAAUAAAAAGGGUAAGAGCUAAACCGAACAACCUGGGUUGGAAGAUCUAUCAACCGCUACGUUCGUAUCUCGCGUCUCGUCCCAAUACACAUCGCCUGUGAUACCUAAAAAAUGGUGGGGGAUGUGAGAACAUGUAAACGUGUCUCCCCUCCCAGUGGGUACCGCAAGCCGAAGAAAGGCGAGGAGUACUCACCGGAUCAGGAAGAGCUAUACAACAACACGGGUCAGUGGAAAUACAAUAGGAACAAUAGUAAACAAAAGAGAUGUAUAAGGUAAUGAGCAGAUAUACUAAAUACAGUAGCAACAAACUGAAAGAAAGUAAGAACUAGACUAAAUAACAGCUACCGCUACUGUAACUGGAACCGAAAGCAUACAUGAAUAUCUACUAUAGCAGCAAGACGACUAUAAAGUAAGAACUAUAAGUAUGCAUGCGACGACUGCUACUAUAGACAUAUGCGUCAACCGGUCAAGAAGUCAAACGUACCCAAUCUGAAACCAAUGCUUCUGUCAGGCACGCAGACCCUCAAGCUAGUGCCGACACUACCUCUCCAGUGCAUAUAACCUCUCUAGGGCUCACGGUUGCUCAACCAUUCAACCACUUUUCUGAAAAGAACACUCUUUGGCGGUGGAUCAGACCGCCAGUGUUCUGAAAUGCGACGAGUAUCGGCGAUCAAGUGCAAUAUGCUCAUAAUCACACGUCGGCAACACAGCCGACAAAUCCCUGCCCCUCAAGGCCCAUUGACGCGCAUAGGUCGUCAACUGUAAAGAAGCACAACGAACCGACCAUUCAGGUCAACCUAGGAUGGACAAACAUAUCGACAUCCCCAAACAUAUGCCCAAAUACUUGCUCAAUGAACCACAAGGACUGACCACUCAGAUCAACCAUAGGUAUGACACUCUGACGCAAGUGCAUGUCACAACUAUCGAUAUGGAAAUCACCAAUCAUGUCACACAGUAUAGGAUAUGAUGCACUGACCGACUUAGGUCACAAACAUGUCAAUAUAGUGAUAAUAGUAAAGUAUAAUCAUCCGCGCAACAUAACCGACAAUCCCCCUCAGGUAUAACCGACCUUAGACGGUCAUCAGACAACAAGGUCGAGGAACUCACCGUAAUAGGUCACAAAUAACUGAAUACUAGUCAAUCGACCGCUAGAUUCGGCUGAUCUCAUAGAUAAUCACGAAAUCGCUCUACUAUAACAUGAAUCAGGGUAUGCAGAAUAGCUAAGUAGAGCAACAAGGAAACAUGGUAUCACAUACAGAUAGACUAUACUCCUACACAUGAUACUAAGCAUGGAAACGUCUGAGUAGAGUAUAAUCAAACAACGUGGGUGUAAUGUAAACGAUAGAGGUGCAAAGCUCAACAUAUAAUAUAUGCAUGGAUAAUAACAAAAGAGAAAGGGUAAGAAACCAUCACCGAGCGUGCACCACUGUACCAACGUCGGAUCGAAGUACCCACCUGUACAACUGUCGCGCCUGUCUCCUGACUGCAAAAGAAUGUCAACCGGACCUAAGGAGGGUCCACUGGGUUAGUGUCUAACCCACAGCUAAGAAACCCUAAAAGCAUAACCCACAAACAAUCCAACAGAAAUCAGUUUCCCAAACCGAUCGCCGUAAUACGCCGAAAAUCCCGUAAUCGCACCGAGACUCUGCCGGGACCCACGGACUGUCCCGGAACUCACCGACUCGUACUACAAGUCACCCGCUGCCACUAAAUACAAAUUUACGUGUGACUUGGCAGCAAAGACCUUAACUCACUCCAAAACGAUUAUCAUCGGAUAAUCGUUCCGAACCGGAUUCCCGAAAGUGUCUAUUUCGACAUCGGAACCCACCGUCGCUCACCCGUCAUUUCUGAACUCUCGAAAUGACGCGAGUGACCAGCCAACAAGGCUUAGCGACUACACAAUAGCUCACGAAGCACCGUCGGAAUAAUUCCGAACCAAAACCGUGUUCCGUCGGCGGAUUUUGCCGACAAACGCACCGGAAAUACAUUUUCAAUCUUCACAAAGGUCCGGGGCCUUGGACAAUCAGUCCAGAGAUCACCCACAGCUCAUCCAUGCUGCCAACAGCAGCCACGACGAACAAAGUUGCAUAAAAGCCCUUCCGAAUACCCGAAAUCAUAUUAUUUUAUGUGAUUUCGGCGCUUUUAUGGUCCGUCUACACAAACUAGGAGUCAUUCAGCCAAACCGAGACACCUACUGAUAGGUCUCGGCGUGCCGGAGGCCGUGCUCACCUUUCGGAGUAAUUUCGGCCACUGUGGGGAGCGCACGAACGACGCGAAAUUCAGUAAACUGCGCGCACAGCAUGAAAAUCAUGCUUAUCUCGCUAACCAAGGGCUCGCUGACCCUAAUUGAGGUGAGCACUGUGAUCAGCACUGACUGACAAUCACCGUGCUCACUUCCGGAGGCAUCGGAACAGCCUCGGGUCGCCGGAACAGUAUACACAACCCCAAACAGUGCACAAUAAUUGCAAUACAAGCUUACCGGAGCUAGGCAGGGCUCGGGGUGGCCGGCGGCGGCCGGAAGGAGGGCAGGCCGGCCAGGGAAAGGUGCUCCAGGUCAGAGGAGGCCGGGGCUCGCGUCAACAGGCGACGGGAGGCGGCGACGACGGCGGGCAACGAUGCCCUAGUCGCACAACCCGAGGAGAGCAUGGGCUCACCACGGUUGACAGGGAGCUCCGGCGGCAGGUUAGCCGGCGGUGGACGGGUGCGGCCGGCCAGGCGGAGUCGGUGCUCACGCCGGAUGGCGGCGGCGCCGGUGCUGGAUGUGGCUCGGUCUACACAAAGCGCAACCGGGCUGAGCCGAACAAGACGGCGGCGCUGGCGGCCGGGGGAGGUCGGGGGUGCAUAGGGGCGACGGCGAUGGUUCGCCGGAGUCCGAGGGAAGGCGGCGCAGCCGAUCUGGAGUGGCGGCGGCGCGCGGGCCUCGAGCCCACCGUGCUCGGUCUGGGUUGACCGAGGGUGGCCGCUGGGAGCAGGGGCGGCGCCGGCGGCGCGUGCGGGCGGCGACGGCCGGCAGCGACGGCGCCGGGGAGUUCCAGGAGGGUGGCGCUUCCAAUCCCGAGCGGCAGCAGGGCGAGGAGGAGGAGAUCCCACCACCUCGGCCAGAUCUGCUCAGAUCUGGCCGCAACUGGCCAGGGUGGUGGUGGCGGCGCUCGGGGGCGGCCGGGACGGCGGCGGCCGGCGGCGAUGAUGUUGGAGAAUGGUCUCGGCCAGAGGGUGGAGUCCGAGGGUGUGGGUUCACCCUGGUAGCAGCACAAGUGGGGGGUGAAGGGUGGUGAAGCAAGGAACAAUGGAGAGGUGGAGGAGCAGCCAGCUCCGGCGGCCGGCGGCGUGCUCUGGUGGCCGGAGCGCGCGCGGGGAGAGCAGGGGAACGUGAGGGAGGCGGUUAAGGAAGAGGAGGGGACCCAGGGUUAGGGUUUCAUGGUGACCUAACUCUAUGAUAUAUGUACAAUUACAGAAAAACCCACCUCAGCCCUAUUUUUAUAAUUUAGUCCCUGCCAUUGCGCGUAACUUGCGCAUACGCACCACCACGCUCGAUCUCAAGCGAUUCGGUACAUAAAAUACAAUGACUUUUGCGAAGUUUCCGAUUUGCCACCUUCGACCCCUCAGUGAACAUUUCGCGUUUCCCGAAAAUCCGUCCGUCGGAUUUUCGAUCCGACAGUGCCAUCGCGUUCAGCACGACGGGGGCAUCGAAACUACGAUUUCGUUUCAUCCGAUUUGCUUGCCGAUUUGCGACAAAAUCUGACCUCUCUCCAACUAACCUAUAUAUCAUACAUAGGCCUUGGUGGAAACCCGAAAUCCUUUAAUUCAAACUCGUAUUUGAAUUCCCUGCCACCAGUAGGUACUUGAAACAUCUCUCACCCAUCUCCAGAUCACUUGAACAAAGCACGAGGAGUUUUAAAAUGAAUGAAUAGCAAAGAGAGGAAACCCUCUUUUUGUUAAAACUCCUUUUUCUCGAAAAUCGUGCGUCAGAUCUAAAAUCCGUCAGUGCCAUUGGUUCCAGAAUAGUCAAGCCGAUCAAAACGAGCUAUUGGAUCGCUAUGAAUGGAGUCCGAUACGCGCCGAAAGCCAACUCUACUCCGUGGCUUCUCCGGAAAACCGGAGUUACUAUUCACUUAAGUGAAAACUAAUAAUCGCGUAACUUCUCCAUUCUAGCUCAUUUUCUCCUGAAACUUGACGAGUGCUUAUGUAAUUAAAUUACACACAUAAACAUCGUCAACAAAGAGUUUAGUUGCACUGUCAAAAUAUCAGUCCUUACAGACAUGCAAAAGAACCAUAAGUGGACCAACCAGAUAAAUUUCCAU